rnacentral:rRNA from 1 species
AGCGUAGACGGAUGGACAAGUCUGAUGUGAAAGGCUGGGGCUCAACCCCGGGACUGCAUUGGAAACUGCCCGUCUUGAGUGCCGGAGAGGUAAGCGGAAUUCCUAGUGUAGCGGUGAAAUGCGUAGAUAUUAGGAGGAACAUCGGUGGCGAAGGCGGCUUUCUGGACUGCAACUGACGCUGAGGCUCGAAAGCGUGGGAGCAAACA